UAGGGAAUUUUCGUCAAUGGGCGCAAGCCUGAACGAGCAAUGCCGCGUGAGUGAGGAAGGUCUUCGGACUGUAAAGCUCUGUUGCCGGGGGAAAAAGGGGAAAUGCAGGAAAUGGCAUUUCAUGGAUGGUACCCGGCCAGAAAGCCACGGCUAACUACGUGCC
rnacentral:rRNA from 1 species